UAUGUAGGGGGCUAGCGUUGUCCGGAAUCAUUGGGCGUAAAGCGCGUGUAGGCGGCCCGGUAAGUCCGCUGUGAAAGUCGGGGGCUCAACCCUCGGAUGCCGGUGGAUACUGUCGGGCUCGAGUACGGAAGAGGCGAGUGGAAUUCCUGGUGUAGCGGUGAAAUGCGCAGAUAUCAGGAGGAACACCAAUUGCGAAGGCAGCUCGCUGGGACGUUACUGACGCUGAGACGCGAAAGCGUGGGGAGCAAACAGG
rnacentral:rRNA from 1 species